GCAUUAUUGAAAGGUGCUUGCAUCUUGAUUUAAUUUUGAACGAGUGGCGGACGGGUGAGUAACACGUGGGUAACCUGCCCUUAAGUGGGGGAUAACAUUUGGAAACAGAUGCUAAUACCGCAUAAAUCCAAGAACCGCAUGGUUCUUGGCUGAAAGAUGGCGUAAGCUAUCGCUUUUGGAUGGACCCGCGGCGUAUUAGCUAGUUGGUGAGGUAACGGCUCACCAAGGCAAUGAUACGUAGCCGAACUGAGAGGUUGAUCGGCCACAUUGGGACUGAGACACGGCCCAAACUCCUACGGGAGGCAGCAGUAGGGAAUCUUCCACAAUGGACGCAAGUCUGAUGGAGCAACGCCGCGUGAGUGAAGAAGGCUUUCGGGUCGUAAAACUCUGUUGUUGGAGAAGAAUGGUCGGCAGAGUAACUGUUGUCGGCGUGACGGUAUCCAACCAGAAAGCCACGGCUAACUACGUGCCAGCAGCCGCGGUAAUACGUAGGUGGCAAGCGUUAUCCGGAUUUAUUGGGCGUAAAGCGAGCGCAGGCGGUUUUUUAAGUCUGAUGUGAAAGCCCUCGGCUUAACCGAGGAAGUGCAUCGGAAACUGGAAAACUUGAGUGCAGAAGAGGACAGUGGAACUCCAUGUGUAGCGGUGAAAUGCGUAGAUAUAUGGAAGAACACCAGUGGCGAAGGCGGCUGUCUGGUCUGUAACUGACGCUGAGGCUCGAAAGCAUGGGUAGCGAACAGGAUUAGAUACCCUGGUAGUCCAUGCCGUAAACGAUGAAUGCUAGGUGUUGGAGGGUUUCCGCCCUUCAGUGCCGCAGCUAACGCAUUAAGCAUUCCGCCUGGGGAGUACGACCGCAAGGUUGAAACUCAAAGGAAUUGACGGGGGCCCGCACAAGCGGUGGAGCAUGUGGUUUAAUUCGAAGCAACGCGAAGAACCUUACCAGGUCUUGACAUCUUUUGAUCACCUGAGAGAUCGGGUUUCCCCUUCGGGGGCAAAAUGACGGGUGG
rnacentral:rRNA from 1 species